rnacentral:rRNA from 1 species
GCGCCCGCGCCAAACCCCGCCUUCCCCCUCCGAUCCGAGCCUCCCGCGCCGAGCCGCGGCUCUCACUGACAGCCGGGCUCCCACCACGUUACCCCGCCCGGCCGGUACGAGCUCGGCCGCUCUGAGGCUUCGGCCGGGCCCACGUGGCAGCGAGAGAGAGACCUCGCGGGGCGGCCGCAGCUUCGUGGAAGCUUCCCCCGAACAAUCUCCUCGAGAACGAGUCCCCAUUCGCGACCGAAAUCCGGGCCGCAGAGACAGAAAAAACAAAACAAAUCACCAAGCUCCGCACCAGCACCACAGUGGCGAAGCCGCAACGUACUUGCGCCGGCCUCGCCCGUGGAACCUUCUAGAGCCUUGACGGCUUGCGCGGGAGGGUUUCUGGUCGUCGUCGUCGUCGUCGGUGUUAUCUCUCCUGCGAGCGCUGCCGCGGACGCGGCGGCUGGCUGGUGUCUGAUUGUCGGGCAUGGCGGUCGGGAGCUCGCCGACGCCGCCGGAGAUCCGCUCGCCGGAGCGGGACAGGCCGGAGGAUGCGGCGGGCGCGGAGGGCGAGGAGGAGGAGGAGGAGUUCGGUGACGCCUUCGAUAUACCCCAUAAGAACGCAUCCCACGACAGCUUGCUCCGAUGGAGGCAAGCUGCUCUUGUGCUGAAUGCUUCACGUCGGUUUAGAUAUACUCUAGACCUUAAAAAGGAGGAAGAGAAAGAGAUAAUUAGAAGAACAAUCCGAUCACAUGCACAAGUGAUACGGGCAGUAUUUCUUUUCAAAGAAGCCGGAGAAAAUGAUCCCAGAGAAGCUUAUACUGGUAUAAAAUUUACAACGGCCUCUCGAGGUUUUCCAAUUGAAAUGGAAAAGCUUAAAACUUUAAACAGAGAUCAUGACAGUGUUCUUCUUCAGGAAAUUAGAGGAGUUAAGGGGCUGUCAGAUUUAUUAAAGAGUAAUUUAGACAGGGGAAUUAAUCCAACUGAGGAUGAAUUGUUACAAAGGAGGGAUGUUUUCGGAGCAAAUACAUAUCCACGCAAGAAAAGAAAAAGCAUACUGCGUUUUGUAUUUGAUGCAUGCAAAGAUUUAACUCUCAUCAUUCUAAUGGUAGCUGCUGCCAUAUCUCUUACGUUGGGCAUGGCCACAGAGGGUGUCAAGGAAGGAUGGUAUGAGGGGGGGAGUAUUUUUUUAGCUGUUUUUCUUGUGAUACUUGUCACCGCAACCAGUGAUUACAGGCAAUCACUUCAGUUUCAACAUCUGAAUGAGGAGAAACAGAACAUACAAGUGGAGGUUCUUAGAGGUGGUAAAAGAUUUCGAACUUCAAUAUUUGACCUUGUUGUGGGUGAUGUGGUUCCCCUGAAUAUUGGUGACCAAGUUCCUGCUGAUGGUAUCCUGAUAUCUGGCCAUUCUCUUGCAAUUGACGAAUCAAGUAUGACUGGGGAAUCAAAAACUGUUCACAAGGAUCAAAAGGCUCCGUUCUUGAUGUCUGGUUGCAAGGUUGCAGAUGGCUAUGGUUCUAUGUUGGUAACAGGUGUGGGUAUCAACACUGAAUGGGGCCAGUUGAUGGCUAACCUUUCUGAAGAUAAUGGUGAAGAAACCCCAUUGCAGGUGCGUUUGAAUGGUGUUGCUACUUUUAUUGGCAUGGUGGGUCUGUCAGUAGCUGGUGUUGUACUUGGCGUGCUUGCGAUAAGAUAUUUUACUGGACAUACCAAGAAUCCGGAUGGGACUGUUCAAUUUCGGGCUGGAACUACUGGUCUCAAACAAGGAUUUAUGGGUGCAAUCAGAAUUUUAACAAUCGCCGUAACCAUCGUAGUUGUUGCUGUGCCUGAGGGACUUCCACUGGCCGUAACAUUGACACUUGCGUAUUCAAUGCGAAAGAUGAUGCGAGACAAGGCGCUGGUGAGGCGGCUCUCAUCUUGUGAAACAAUGGGAUCAGCGACUACUAUAUGUAGUGAUAAGACAGGAACUCUCACCUUGAAUAAGAUGACAGUUGUGGAGGCACACUUUAUCGGGACAAGGUUGGAUCCUUGUGAUGAUGUUAGGGCAAUCUCAAGUAGUUCAGCGGCACUGCUUAUUGAAGGAAUUGCACAAAACACUACAGGAACUGUAUUUUUGCCAGAGGAUGGGGGAGCAGCUGAUGUUACAGGUUCACCAACUGAAAAAGCCAUUCUUUCUUGGGGCCUUAAGAUAGGGAUGGAUUUCAAUGAUGUUCGGUCAAAGUCUUCAGUUCUUCAUGUAUUUCCAUUUAAUUCAGAGAAGAAGCGAGGUGGUGUUGCAGUGCAGUCAGAUACCGGGGUCCACAUCCAUUGGAAAGGUGCAGCUGAGUUAGUGCUAUCAUCUUGCAAAAGUUGGCUUUCUCUGGAUGGUUCAGUUCAGCCAAUGGGUGCACAGAAGCGUAAUGAGUACAAGAAAUCAAUUGAAGACAUGGCAAAGAGUUCACUACGAUGUGUUGCUUUUGCAUAUUGUCAAUGUGAUAUUGAAAAAAUUCCGAAGGAAGACAUAGCUGAUUGGAAGUUACCUGAGGAGGAUCUGACUCUUCUUGGUAUUGUGGGCAUAAAGGAUCCAUGUCGCCCAGGAGUGAGGAGUGCUGUACAAUUAUGCAAAAAUGCUGGUGUAAAGGUGCGCAUGGUCACAGGAGAUAAUAUUGAAACAGCCAAGGCAAUAGCGUUGGAGUGCGGAAUACUAGAUGCAAAUGGUGUUAUUUCAGAGCCAUUUGUAAUAGAGGGAAAAGCGUUCCGCGAGAUGUCUGAAAUUGCAAGAGGAGAGAUUGCUGACAAGAUAACUGUCAUGGGAAGAUCAUCUCCAAAUGACAAACUUUUGCUUGUCCAAGCUUUGAAAAGGAAAGGCCAUGUUGUGGCUGUCACUGGUGAUGGCACAAAUGAUGCCCCUGCAUUGCAUGAGGCUGAUAUAGGUCUUGCAAUGGGCAUGUCAGGGACAGAAGUUGCUAAAGAAAGCUCUGACAUUAUAAUCUUGGAUGAUGACUUCACAUCUGUUGUGAAGGUUGUUCGCUGGGGACGCUCUGUCUAUGCAAAUAUUCAGAAAUUCAUCCAGUUCCAGCUUACUGUUAACGUUGCCGCACUUGUGAUUAAUGUUAUUGCAGCUGUGUCAUCUGGUGACGUGCCUCUAAAUGCUGUUGAGCUUCUCUGGGUGAACCUUAUCAUGGAUACACUGGGAGCUCUUGCUUUAGCAACUGAACCACCAACAGACAACCUUAUGAAGAGACAGCCUGUUGGUCGAAGGCAUCCACUUGUGACCAAUAUUAUGUGGAGAAACUUGUUUGUCCAGGCCAUUUACCAAAUAGCAAUCCUUCUUAUCUUUAAUUUCUCUGGAAAAAAGAUUCUACGGCUGCAGAAUGAAAGUCCAGAUAACGCCGAGAAAAUGAAGAACACAUUUAUCUUCAAUACAUUUGUAUUUUGCCAGAUCUUCAACGAGUUCAAUGCGCGUAAGCCUGAGGAAAGGAAUGUCUUCAAAGGAGUAACAAAGAAUCACCUCUUCAUGGGAAUAGUUUGUGUAACUACCGUGUUUCAGAUACUAAUAGUUGAAUUCCUGGGAAAGUUCUUUAAAAUUGUGAGACUUAACUGGAGUCUAUGGUUAGUUUCAGUUGCCAUUGGCGUCGUAAGCUGGCCUUUGGCUUAUCUAGGGAAAUUCAUUCCAGUUCCUGUAAGACCUCUCCAGGCCUAUUUCAAGCCUUGUUGGAAAUCAUCACGCCGAGACGAAGAGGAAGGCAGGCAGGGCUAAAAAGGCUGCAGAUCACCUAGUGUAAAUAGACACGGGUCAGCCGAAGAACAGGAACCCGUACCGCCUCUCCCAGUGGAACAGAGCUGCGGAUUAUCUCUACUACAAGGAGAUGCAGUGAACUAGAAGCUUUCCAUGCAGGGACAGUGUCUGCUCCAUCAGGACAUGCUCAAGGCCUGCGUGUGACUCCAAUGUAACUACAAUGGAAACAACAGAUCGGAAAUCCUUGAUCUUGCUACCACCGCCGCCACGAGAUCCAGAUGUAGGGCGCUUCUCCCCGUCAGACCAGUGUUCCCCACCGUCUCGGGAUCAAGACGCGACGAGCCUCCGGUCGUUGCGGAUCAACUCGCCGGCGCUCGACCUCGAGCGUGCCCAGCUCGGCCUCAACCGCGCUGGUCCGGUGACCCGGGCAAGGAUUCAUAAUCCUCCGCCGGAUCGAGCUCUGUUCCUUCCCGUGUGUUAUCUCCCGUCGAGGGCAGCCAACAAAAGGGGACGGCGGCGGCAAGGAGGAGCAGGAGGCGGCGGCCGCGAGGAGGAGGCGGCGGCCGCGAGGAGGAGGCAGCGGCGGCGAAUCUGAGGCCAAGCGGAGGAGAUGGGAGGAGGAGCGAUGGGCGAAAGCAAAUGCAGGAGUUAUGGCUAUGGGCAUCGCGACCCCUCGCGUGAAGCUGCACGCGUGAUGCAGAGGUGGGUGCAGGCUUUUUGCGCAGCUCGUGCAUGCAUCCAAGGAACGAUCGAAUCUGGCGUAGCUCUCAGCCUGGCUGAGAGGGUACUUUUUGCAUCAGUUGGGCCAUGCCCAGAUGGCCAUGCGGUUUACCAAACAAGCUGAAAAUUGCAUCCAUAAUGCUAUGCAGGUGCGCCACGAGCAACCAAACACACCCAGGUAUUCAAGGAAUUGCCUAGAAGGUAACAUUUUCCACUUCUUAUGCACAAAGGAGUAUAUUGUAAUGGAAAUUGUUGUAUUAUAGAUUAGUUCAUUUGUACCCCCUCUGUGGGAUAUUACUCGUCCGAAGAGGAAUAUGACAUGAACGAAGAGGAGGACAUUGCUUUAGUUUUGAUGAUGCACAAGAAAGUAAGAGGCUGAAGCAUGGUGGUUUCAUUUUCGGCUCUGAGGUGAUUCGUAGGAUUAGGCAAGAUGGGCACAAUAGAUUG